CACUCUGAAUAUCACCAUGAGUCUCUGCAUUCACUUUCAAUAUGAUAUUAAAUCAACUUCCAAAAUAAAAAAAUAAAAACCCUAUCGCUUCCGCAUAGCUUGGAAGUUGGAAGUUAUUCACAAUAUUUCCAUACUGUCCCAGUUUAAGAACUUUAUUCAUCUCUCAGGAUGUAUUGCUGUCUGUUAUAUAGAGAAGACUACAAUUCUCAGAGUUCGCAAACAUUUUCUUACAUAAAGAACAUGCAAACUCCCAGAAUUCCACUAAGCUCCUCCUUCUGUUACACAAUAGGCUUCAACUCAAGCCCCCUCCCUACACUCGUGAGUGUCAUUUUGUAUUACAGAGUGUUCCAUAAAGCAGGGAGUGGAGGUACAGAGAGAGAGAGACGCUAAAUAAAAAACUUCACACACAUCAAACGUUGAAACUUCCCAACCAAGGCAGAACAGCCAAGCUAGCAAAGAUGGUCUGACUUCUCAUUAAAGCCUGUAGCUACGUGGUGAGGAAGAUUACGGCUGCUGUCAAUGAGGGGGACCAGCCAGAGACGCCCAACACAUCGUCAUGUAGUCAGGUUAGAGAUAAAAAGGGGGAUGAAUUGAAGUCUGGUCAGACAGCAGCGAUGCUGAGUACUGACCCGAGCCCCUCUGCACCCCCACGAGACAGGGCUGUGCAGCAGUGCAGCUCCUGAGGGUAAAUAUCGCACUGACUGAGGAAGGGAUGUGUGGGUAAUGAGGCCAGAAAACUGAAGAACACCAUAACAACUGCCAUCUUGGUUAUAGUGGCACCUCCGUAUACAUAUAAAUUAUAAAGUGUGUAUGGAACAUAUAUCAGCUUUUAAGAAAUAUACCUUUCAUUUCUGUCAAUCUAAGAGUACUACAUACCCACGUCAGCUCCCAACCACACAACCCAGUCAGUGCAGUAAGCUGAUCUCCUGAUUGGCUAAUUGUGCAGCAACAAAUGAAGGCUUGUUCAUCAACUCCCUGCAUCUCGGAGCUGGUCAGGUCUGAAAAUGAGAGUUUUUGCUGUGUCACUAAAAUUUGUAUUAAUAAAGUUUUUCACCUAAGUA